CUGACCCGUGACCUCCUCCUCCUGCACCUAGCCUGGCACAGCAGUACAACCCAUGGCACCUGCAGGGUCUGUCCCGUGACCACCUCAUGCACCUAGCCUGGCACAGCAGUACAACCCAUGGCACCUGCUGGGUCUGUCCCGUGACCUCCUCCUCAUGCACCUAGCCUGGCACAGCAGCAGGACAACCCAUGGCAUCUGCAGGAUCGGACUACGUACGGUGCGAAGGAAGUUCAACACACGUACACACAGACACACACACGCUGCCUUAUAUAAUGGACUUAGACUUUCAAUGUUAAAGUCUCCCAUAGACUCCAAUGUUAAAGUCCCCCAUAGACUCCAAUGUUAAAGUCUCCCAUAGACUCCAAUGUUAAAGUCUCCCAUAGACUCCAAUGUUAAAGUCUCCCAUAGACUCCAAUGUUAAAGUCUCCCAUAGACUUCAAUGUUAAAGUCUCCCAUAGACUUCAAUGUUAAAGUCUCCCAUCGACUCCAAUGUUAAAGUCUCCCCAUAGACUCCAAUGUUAAAGUCUCCCAUAGACUCCAAUGUUAAAGUCUCCCAUAGACCUCAAUGUUAAAGUCUCUACCCAUAGAUUUCAAUGUUAAAGUCUCCCAUAGACCUCAAUGUUAAAGUCUCUACCCAUAGAUUUCAAUGUUAAAGUCUCCCAUAGACCUCAAUGUUAAAGUCUCUACCCAUAGACUGCAAUGUUAAAGUCUCCCAUAGACUCCAAUGUUAAAGUCUCCCAUAGACCUCAAUGUUAAAGUCUCUACCCAUAGAUUUCAAUGUUAAAGUCUCCCAUAGACCUCAAUGUUAAAGUCUCUACCCAUAGAUUUCAAUGUUAAAGUCUCCCAUAGACCUCAAUGUUAAAGUCUCUACCCAUAGACUUCAAUGUUAAAGUCUCCCCAUAGACCUCAAUGUUAAAGUCUCUACCCAUAGACUUCAAUGUUAAAGUCUCCCCAUAGACUUAAAUGUUAUGGGAGUGGAGGGAAAUGGGGACCCCACAUAAUACAGUACAACAUUAUAUAUUCAAUAUAUCUCAUCAUGUAUACCGUGUUCAGCAUAUGCCCACUAAUAAACGAUUUAAAUCAC